CCAGAGCUUGCUCCGGUGAAAGUGGCGCACGGGUGAGUAACGCGUGGAUAAUCUGCCCUGGUAUYUGGGAUAACAUCUCGAAAGGGGUGCUAAUACCGGAUAAGCCUACGGUCUCUUCGGAGUCUGCAGGAAAAGGUGGCCUCUAUUUAUAAGCUACCGUAUCAGGAUGAGUCCGCGUACCAUUAGCUAGUUGGUGGGGUAAUGGCCCACCAAGGCUACGAUGGUUAGCUGGUYUGAGAGGAUGAUCAGCCACACUGGAACUGAGACACGGUCCAGACUCCUACGGGAGGCAGCAGUGGGGAAUUUUGCGCAAUGGGGGAAACCCUGACGCAGCAACGCCGCGUGAGUGAUGAAGGCUUUCGGGUCGUAAAGCUCUGUCAGAGGGGAAGAAAUGGGUCGUGCUAAUAUCACGGCUUCUUGACGGUACCCUCAAAGGAAGCACCGGCUAACUCCGUGCCAGCAGCCGCGGUAAUAC
rnacentral:rRNA from 1 species